GUCCCCAAACUAUGCUGCCAAGGCCAAUUUGAUACCCAAACUCUCAAAAGUAUCAAUGUGAUACCCAAACACGUAUUUUGACAUCAAUGUGAUACUUCCGUCAAAAAUUCCUAACGGGGCCGUUUGUUUGCUGACGUGGCAAGCACGUGGGGUCUCAAAAAAAGUAAAAUGACCAAUUUACCAUUUUUUAAUUCAUUUUUUUCUUUUCAUUUAUUUUUCUUUUUUCUCUUCUUCUUCUUCUUCUUCUUCUUUUCAUUUCUUUUUCUUCUUUCUCUUCUUCUUCUUCUUCUUCUGGGAUUUUCCUCUAGCCAAACCGUUGCAAGCUCCGCCACCACAUUUCCUUAAUUACCUGACAACGUCAUCAGCCACCCACCUCAUUUUUUUUUUUUUUAAAUCUUCUUCUGGGUCUGCUUCUUCUUCGAGCUCGGUGGUUGGAUGCUGAGAAAUUGAAGAGGAUGGGUUGGGUUGGAGGCGGCGGCCGUGGAGGGUGAUAGGAGAAGCGGAGUUAGGCAGGGAUCGGGAGUUGGGGUUGGCAGCGAGGUCGAGGCAGGAGAAUGGGAACUGUCGUCAAGGUCGCCGCUGCUGCACCAAAAUCGAAGGCCAAGGCCAAGCCCGAAGCAAACGCCGAACCAAUCAACCCCAAGAGAAACGUGAAUAGGAACGUCGGCAUUCUGAAGCCAACAUGAGGGAGAUCAUUCGCAAUAACCAGCUGAGUUGUUUGAACUUUUUUUUUUUUGGCAGUCGGAGUUGUUUGAACUUUGAAGGGAAGGAAUGGGUCAACUUUUUGGAGAUUGGGAAGUUGCUUUCGCGUCAUUUUGUGAAGGCCGAGUGAAUGAGAAUCAUCUUUUGGUUAUUAUAUUGUGUAAAAGUAGGAAAAGGUCCGCACGGUUCUUUUGAGACCGCAAGUAGGGGUUUUUUAAUUGAUAUUUAGUGGUGAAUGUAUAAAAGUAAUUAGAUUAAACAUUAAAAACAAAAAAAGAAGAAGUCAUAUUUGUGUGCAGCCCACGCCCCACUGCCCACUAGCCCAUGCUUUUUAACCCAAAAACAAUAAACAAAUACCCAACAAUAAAAAACUCCCUUUGCUGUAACCAAAAAAAAAAAAAACUCCCUUUGUUCAUCCCGAAUCGGGAUUUCCAGUUCAUCUUCAUCACUUCCCCAAUUUCCAGUUCCAAUUUCUUCCCCAGAUUCUUCCCCAAUAUAGAUAGCUUUGCUGUUUUCUUACUCUGUAAAGGAACCGGUUACAAGCUAUAACUGAACCGAAAAACACGGUUUCCGGCAAAAAAAAAGGACGACACCAAACCGGAAAAAAUAUAUCGGUUUCGGUUUCGGGCGAUGAAGUUGGUCUGGAUUUGGAGGUUGAGGGCGAUGAAGUCAGCCGGGUGGUGUUGGUGGCGCGGAUGCCGCCGACUUUAGCAGCGGCGAGGAUUACGAAUUGGGGCUUUUCGGCGGCGAAGAAGGACUCGACGUCGUUUUAGCGUGUGAGGUCGAGGUUGGUGUGGGUGUGGAGGAAGAGGUUGGUGAAACCUAAGGACUGGAGCUUGCGGACGAUGGCGGAGCCUAAUUGGAGAGGAUAUCGGCGGGGUUAGUGAUGGUUUGGGUGGUGGAGAAGGAGAGGAGAGAGAGGAGGUGGAGAGAGAAGAAGAAGAGUCAGGUUGAAGAAGAAGAAGAAGAAAAAGAAAUGAAAAGAAAAAAAUAAUAAUAAAAAAAGAGGGUAAAAAGUCCAUUUUGCCCUUUUAUUUUUUGCCCACGUGCUUGCCACGUCAGCAAACAAACGGAGCAGUUGGAUUUUUUUUACGGAAGUAUCACGUUGAUGCCAAUAUAGGUCUUUGGGUAUCACAUUGAUACUUUUGAGAGUUCGGGUAUCAAAUUGGCCUUGGCAGCAUAGUUUGGGGACGGUACCUGAAUUUUUCUCUAAUUAAUAACUAUACUAAAGGAAGGUUUUUGGUACUGUAGCUUUAGAACAGUGACCUGACUUUUGUGUCCCUGCAUUCUCUCUGAUUUUUCAAUUGGUUGCCCUGCGUGCGCUUUUACGGGAAUGUCCUCUCGACCCGGCCGUCUGCAACCCUGCUUCUGCCGUGGCAGCACGUGUUUGAUCUAGAGAGAGGUGGGGAGGUCGUGGCAACCUGUGCAUUAUCCAAAGAAAGGUGGAGGCAGUGAUAGGGAGGGCUCGACUCUCCCUCUCACUGACGAGAAUGGCAAACCCUCCAUUCUCACCGAUCCUUCGCUCUCCUUCUUCCACGAUUACCUCGAAAGUGUCAGAUGCCUUCCUAUGCUAGCAAGAAUGAAGAUUGGAAGCCGAUGCAAUCUCUCUUUCUCUUUCGCCCUGUGAUUUCUAUUGGGACAUGAUGUACAUGUGUUUGAUUGAAGAGUUUUGUGAGCGUGGAGAAGCUAUGUAGUGUAGAUAAAUUUGGAGCUUCUGGGAUUUGAAGAAGGAAGAAGGAAGUACUAAAACAAAGUGAUUGAGGAACGAAAGUUGUGUUUUUGUUUGAUCAAGAUGUUGUUAUCUAUUGAAUGAUUUGACACUGGAUGAGUUGAGGAGCGAAUGUUCAAGUUAUGAAGAUUUGUUCAGCCAAAAAAAAAAAACAAGUUAUGACGAUUUGUAGGACUGCCUCUAUCUUCAAGGUCGUCAAGCAUAUUGGC